rnacentral:lncRNA from 13 species
GUUUUGCUUGCUCUAGCAGUUCACGUCAAUGGAGCCAUACAGUGCAAGCUCUCUGUUACCAAGUUUAUUUCUACUCAUCAUCAGGUCUGUGAGCUUUAUAAGUAUUGUUGAUGUGUCAGUUGUUUGUCCCUUUUGAUUACUGAGUGGGAAUGCACUGUGGGAAUAUAAAAAACAGUUCGUUAAAUCGUUCUACUACAAGGACACAUGCACACGAAUGUUCAUUGCAGCACUGUUUACAAUAGCAAAGACCUGGAAUCAACCCAAAUGCCCAUCGAUGAUAGACUGGAUUGGGAAAAUGUGGCACAUAUACACCAUGGAAUAUUAUGCAGCAAUCAGAAAUGAUGAGUUCGUGUCGUUUAUAGGGACAUGGAUGAAUCUGGAGAACAUCAUUCUCAGCAAACUGACACAAGAACAGAAAAUGAAACACCGCAUAUUCUCACUCAUAGGCGGGUGAUGAAAAAUGAGAACACAUGGACACAGAGAGGGGAGUACUAAACACUGGGGCCUAUAGGGGGAAAAGGGGAGGGCCAGUGGGAGGGGGAGGUGGGGAGGGAUUGCCAGGGGAGAAAUACCAAAUGUGGGUGAAGGGGAGAAAGCAAACAAAACACACUGCCCUGUGUUUUGUUUGCUUUCUCCCCUUCACCCACAUUUGGUAUUUCUCCCCUGGCAAUCCCUCCCCACCUCCCCCUCCCACUGGCCCUCCCCUUUUCCCCCUAUAGACCCCAGUGUUUAGUACUCCCCUCUCUGUGUCCAUGUGUUCUCAUUUUUCAUCACCCGCCUACGAGUGAGAAUAUGCGGUGUUUCAUUUUCUGUUCUUGUGUCAGUUUGCUGAGAAUGAUGUUCUCCAGAUUCAUCCAUGUCCCUAUAAACGACACGAACUCAUCAUUUCUGAUUGCUGCAUAAUAUUCCAUGGUGUAUAUGUGCCACAUUUUCCCAAUCCAGUCUAUCAUCGAUGGGGAUUUGGGUUGAUUCCAGGUCUUUGCUAUUGUAAACAGUGCUGCAAUGAACAUUCGUGUGCAUGUGUCCUUGUAGUAGAACGAUUUAUAGUCCUUUGGAUAUAUACCCAGUAAUGGGAUUGCUGGGUCAAAUGGGAUUUCCAUUUCUAAGGCCUUGAGGAAUCGCCACACCGUCUUCCACAAUGGUUGGACUAAUUUACACUCCCACCAACAGUGUAAAAGUGUUCCUUUUUCUCCACAUCCUCUCCAGCAUCUGUUGUCUCCAGAUUUUUUAAUGAUCGCCAUUCUAACUGGCGUGAGAUGGUAUCUCAAUGUGGUUUUGAUUUGCAUCUCUCUGAUGACCAGUGACGAUGAGCAUUUUUUCAUAUGAUUGUUGGCCUCAUAUAUGUCUUCUUUCGUAAAGUGUCUGUUCAUAUCCUUUGACCACUUUUGAAUGGGCUUGUUUGUUUUUUUCCUGUAAAUCUGUAUGAGUUCUUUGUAAAUUCUGGAUAUCAGCCCUUUGUCAGAUGGGUAAACUGCAAAAAUUUUUUCCCAUUCUGUUGGUUGCCGAUUCACACUAGAAACUGUUUCUUUUGCCGUGCAGAAGCUGUGGAGUUUCAUUAGGUCCCACUUGUCUAUUUUGGCUUUUGUUGCCAAUGCUUUUGGUGUUUUGUUCAUGAAGUCCUUGCCUACUCCUAUGUCCUGGAUGGUUUUGCCUAGAUUUCCUUCUAGGGUUUUUAUGGUGCCGGGUCUUAUGUUUAAGUCUUUAAUCCAUCUGGAGUUAAUUUUGGUGCACUGGAAUUAUUAAUCAAAUGGAUACAUGUAAAUCAGCCAUUAACCCAUAUGUAAACCCAUCCAUUGCCAUUUUUAAUGACAGAAUUUUUAAGCUUAAGAUUUUCUAUAUUGUGUAGAAUAAUUUUGGAAGUUUAUAUGUUCUAGGAAAUUAUUUAUUUCCCUGUAUAAUCAAAUAUGUUGCCACAUUGGGCACUUAACAUUAUUUUAUAAUUCUUGCCUUAAGUUUUUUUUUUUUUUAAAAAACCCUGAAUUAAAAAUUAAAUAAGCAUCUGCAUUGGCAUGACUUUCUAAGCAUUUUGUGAGGUAUAUGAUACCUCAGUUUGGAGUGUGUGUGUGUGUGUGUGUGUAUGUGUGUGUGUGUUACUUUGUAUUUUUCUGCUUUUUUAAUGAUAAAGUUUACAUUUUCCAAACAAUUAUACAUUUGUUAUUAUAGAAGAAUGUAUACCAAACCCAAGAGUCAAGGAAAUAUUUCUUACAGCUAAUUAAAGAAAGGUCUAUAAUUAAAUCUAAUUAGAGAAAUUAGAUUCAAUUUUUCACAAAGCAUGUUUUCUGUCUGAAGAAUGACAACAUAAAGAUAAAUCAAUGAGUAUAGGUUGGUGCAAAAUAAAUUGCUUUUAAUGACCA